rnacentral:tRNA from 1 species
UGGGGUGUGGCCAAGCUGGUUAAGGCAACGGGUUUUGGUCCCGUCAUUCGAGGGUUCGAGUCCUUCCACCCCAGCCA